AAAUUGAAGAGUUUGAUCAUGGCUCAGAUUGAACGCUGGCGGCAGGCCUAACACAUGCAAGUCGAACGGUAACAGGAAACAGCUUGCUGUUUCGCUGACGAGUGGCGGACGGGUGAGUAAUGUCUGGGAAACUGCCUGAUGGAGGGGGAUAACUACUGGAAACGGUAGCUAAUACCGCAUAACGUCGCAAGACCAAAGAGGGGGACCCUCGGGCCUCUUGCCAUCGGAUGUGCCCAGAUGGGAUUAGCUUGUUGGUGGGGUAACGGCUCACCAAGGCGACGAUCCCUAGCUGGUCUGAGAGGAUGACCAGCCACACUGGAACUGAGACACGGUCCAGACUCCUACGGGAGGCAGCAGUGGGGAAUAUUGCACAAUGGGCGCAAGCCUGAUGCAGCCAUGCCGCGUGUAUGAAGAAGGCCUUCGGGUUGUAAAGUACUUUCAGCGGGGAGGAAGGGAGUAAAGUUAAUA
rnacentral:rRNA from 1 species